GGCCGUGGUUCAGUGGAACAGUAUCUGCUUUGGAUUUAGAUAGUCCCAGGUUCAAUCCCUGGCUGGGAAAGACCA